rnacentral:ncRNA from 2 species
UACGUAGGGUGCGAGCGUUAAUCGGAAUUACUGGGCGUAAAGCGUGCGCAGGCGGUUUGCUAAGACAGGUGUGAAAUCCCCGGGCUUAACCUGGGAACUGCGCUUGUGACUGGCAGGCUAGAGUACGGUAGAGGGGGGUGGAAUUCCUGGUGUAGCAGUGAAAUGCGUAGAUAUCAGGAGGAACACCGAUGGCGAAGGCAGCCCCCUGGGCCUGUACUGACGCUCAUGCACGAAAGCGUGGGGAGCAAACAGG